rnacentral:rRNA from 1 species
GACGAACGCUGGCGGCGUGCUUAACACAUGCAAGUCGAACGGAAAGGCCCUGCUUUUGUGGGGUGCUCGAGUGGCGAACGGGUGAGUAACACGUGAGUAACCUGCCCUUGACUUUGGGAUAACUUCAGGAAACUGGGGCUAAUACCGGAUAGGAGCUCCUGCUGCAUGGUGGGGGUUGGAAAGUUUCGGCGGUUGGGGAUGGACUCGCGGCUUAUCAGCUUGUUGGUGGGGUAGUGGCUUACCAAGGCUUUGACGGGUAGCCGGCCUGAGCGGGUGACCGGCGACAUUGGGACUGAGAUACGGCACAGACUCCUACGGGAGGCAGCAGUGGGGAAUAUUGCACAAUGGGCGGAAGCCUGAUGCAGCAACGCCGCGUGCGGGAUGACGGCCUUCGGGUUGUAAACCGCUUUCGCCUGUGACGAAGCGUGAGUGACGGUAAUGGGUAAAGAAGCACCGGCUAACUACGUG